UGCAUGUCAAGAAGCACGGCUACAGAGUCCUUGGUAGUGCGUGCAGCCUGUUGCCUGUACUGGUUGCCCUAAGGGACCUUGGAGACAGCC
rnacentral:snoRNA from 1 species